rnacentral:misc_RNA from 1 species
ACCGAUAUUGGCGACUAUCAGGUAAAACUACGCAACCUGAUUCGCUUUAUUGAAGAGGGUAACAAGGUCAAGGUCACAAUCCGUUUCCGCGGGCGCGAAAUGGCGCACCAGGAUAUCGGUGUUGACGUUUUGAAUCGUUUGAAGGAAGACACUGCUGAACUUUGUUUGGUAGAAAGCUUCCCGACUCGAAUCGAAGGUCGUCAAAUGAUCAUGGUUCUUGCCCCUAAAAAGAAGUAAUUUCGGCAUACAAGUAACCUAGAGGUUUAGCACUGUCUCACUUGAGCAGGGCUAAGUCUCUUUGUUCGCCAAAUUACACUGUUAUUAAUGCAUACAAUGCGGAGUUAUUCAUCAUGCCUA